GACGAACGCUGGCGGCGUGCCUAAUACAUGCAAGUAGAACGCUGAAGGAGGAGCUUGCUUCUCUGGAUGAGUUGCGAACGGGUGAGUAACGCGUAGGUAACCUGCCUGGUAGCGGGGGAUAACUAUUGGAAACGAUAGCUAAUACCGCAUAAUAUUGACUAUUGCAUGAUAGUCAGUUGAAAGGUGCAACUGCACCCCUACCAGAUGGACCUGCGUUGUAUUAGCUAGUUGGUGGGGUAACGGCUCACCAAGGCGACGAUACAUAGCCGACCUGAGAGGGUGAUCGGCCACACUGGGACUGAGACACGGCCCAGACUCCUACGGGAGGCAGCAGUAGGGAAUCUUCGGCAAUGGACGGAAGUCUGACCGAGCAACGCCGCGUGAGUGAAGAAGGUUUUCGGAUCGUAAAGCUCUGUUGUAAGAGAAGAACGAGUGUGAGAGUGGAAAGCUCACACUGUGACGGUAUCUUACCAGAAAGAGACGGCUAACUACGUG
rnacentral:rRNA from 1 species